AAAUAAUUCUCUCUUUUCUUCUUGUUGCCUUCCCUCAACAGAAGCUGAACUCUUGAGAGAUCGCGAUGUUGAGGUUACCUCCAAAUAAGGGAGUAUUCACAAAAAUUUUACCCCUUGAUAGCAAAGCAGAAAAGUCGCCCCAGUUCAGAAGAAAAUCACUGGCCUCCCGUAGACUGACCCAAACUCCUUUUCCAACACUUGAGUUAAUGCCAGUAUCAUGAGACCCCAGUCUGUGUUCUUCUUUUUGUUAGUUUGGAAAGAAUGACUAAUCCCUGUAUACUAUUCUUGGACCGUUAUUUUGGCCAGUUUAGGAGGAAUGGAUGAAUACUAAUAACAUCCGACGUUUAUAGCACAUUCAGAGUUUAUAAAGCCUUUUUCCAUUGACUCCUCACAGCAGUUCCCAGAUGAAGUGACUUGACCUGGCUCAUCUGUGACCAAGAGAUGAAGCUAAGAUAUAAACAUGAGUCUUCUGAAUCCAGCCUUCAGUUUUAACUGUGCACUAGACAGGACUACCAUGUGCUCUGGAGGAAAAGCCCAGGGAGUGAAGAGGGCAUAUUCCAGGCAUGGUCUAGCUUGGCAGACACGGAUCCCACUUCGGAAAGUAAUCCCUCUACUGAGAGGCUGGAGAGCUAAUGAAAAGCAGCCAGCCAAUGGAAACAUGACAUGUGCUAACAUCUUCUGAAAUUUAAUGUGGAUCACAGGAGCCCUCCCCUGUCAGCCUCUGGCACAGUAACUCCAUCUCACAGCGAAUUUCCCAGAAGACCCAGUCUGUGACACUCCCGCCCCCCCCCCCCCCAUCAAGACGCCUCUCUGUUUCAGAUACUGAGACUCACAAAUAGUGACCCUUCGUCAUUACAGGCAAAAACAGACUGUCUCCUGGAAAAGACAAUUGGCUUCAUGAGGGCCAAGCGGUCAUUCACUUCUGAACUCACAAAAUCAAUGGCACACCAUUAAGGAGAAAAUACGAAGGAUCUCCAAGAAGCUCUGAAGAAAGGGGAUGUCAUCACUGGGACUUUGGGAAUUUAGUGCCUUGCUCAAGUAACAUAGCCGCUUUUAAGUGGGACCUCCUGAAGCUAGUUCAUACCCCUUUGUGAGGAUGAUGGGAAGGCCGUGGUCUUCUCUGUACCGUGACUUCCCAGAAUAAUGAGGGUUAACAGAGUCUAGCUUUCAGGAAGACUCGGGUAGGGAGAGGUCAAGGGGAGCGCUCACAGACAGCUGGGCAUAUUUCUGUGUUGUUUCAACACAUCAGGAGCAAGAAUUAAGUUACUCGUCCAACACAAAUGAACAAAAUAUAUAAAGACCGUAAAAUAAAACUCAUGCUUUCUUAACGUCUUUGCAGCUGGAGGACACAGGAAUCACCCUACUGACAGCAUGUCUGGUGAUCUCUAAUCCAGGCCCUGCUGCCUGCUGCUGCUGUCUUCAAAAACAAAUCUACGCAGGUCUUUGAACCAUCUUAGAUGCCGCUUCAAGAUACUUUUGGCUGAUUACGUAAGGACCAAACUCCUCACUGCAAUACUGAACAUCUUUCACAAUCAAACCAGAAGUAAACACUGCAGGCUCCAUUCUAAUUCUUGGGACAUUUUCCCUCCUCCCUGCCCCCACCUUUCAGAAUCACUUUCUGCUCCUUAGAGAAGCUGGGCCCUUCCCAGCUCUUUGUUUUUGCAUUUGCUAAUUCCCCUUUCCCUUUUCCUCGGUUCCGCCCCAGCUUCAAUGUCACCUGUCUGUCAACCUCUGAGUCUCCCCAACUCCAGCCAUAAUGCAUUGCUUCCACCUUUGCUGUCACGCAGCACGUCGUCCAAUCACUGCUCUGACUUGUCUUUUUUUUACAAUAGGAAUUUUAAAUUACAAUAGGAAUAUAAGCUUAUGUGCUGA